UGCGUAGGUGGUCUUGUAAGUCAGAAGUGAAAGGCUACGGCUUAACCGUAGUAAGCUUUUGAAACUGCAGGACUUGAGUGCAGGGGAGGAAAGUGGAAUUCCUAGUGUAGCGGUGAAAUGCGUAGAUAUUAGGAGGAACACCAGUGGCGAAGGCGACUUUCUGGACUGUUACUGACACUGAGGCACGAAAGCGUGGGGAGCGAACA
rnacentral:rRNA from 1 species